CGGUUGAGCAAUCUGCCGUUGGAGGUGGGGAAAUUAACGGGUUGGAAAACCAGGCCGCUAAUACCGCAUGAUACAGCUAUCCCGCAUGGGGUUGGCUGUCAAAGAUUUAUCGCUCUGAGAUGAGCUCGCGUCUGAUUAGCUUGUUGGCGGGGUAACGGCCCACCAAGGCGACGAUCAGUAGCCGGACUGAGAGGUUGGCCGGCCACAUUGGGACUGAGACACGGCCCAGACUCCUACGGAAGGCAGCAG
rnacentral:rRNA from 1 species